rnacentral:lncRNA from 1 species
AUGCUGCAUCCCCGAAUCUUUCGGGAUCUUUCACAAUUAUCCUGCGAGAACUGCACUUCAUCACAAAGCACCAUUACCAGGGAAAAUGGCUAUGAUUACAAUAGCAACAAUAGAAUGCCAUCAAAUGAUCUCUAUUUACCUAAUUUGCUAAGGCUGACUGUGUGGUUUUCGUGCCCAUUGUAUGUGUCACCAUGCCUGGCACCCGUGGAUCUAUCUCGCACCGGAACAAAAGCCGCAGGACCCAGCACACCUGCCUCUGUGAGUCUGGCCCCCGCCCACGUGGAGGUGGUUCAGGGUUCAUGCACCAAAUGGGAAGGGCCACAUGCCCUCUGUUCUCUGACACACAGUGAAUUUUGCAUUCAGAGGCUGGAAUGGAGACCCCACUUGUUCUCUGUCUCUGCUAAACCAUCUUAUGGCUGUUGAGAAGAUCGCCAGAGCUGGACGGAUCCCCCCUGGGCCUCUCCUGCAUUUGCAUCUGAGAAGGAGGAAUGUCCUUCCUCUUCAGAAUCUCAUCCCCCAGGGCGCCUGGGUGGUUUAGUGGUUGAGCAUCUGCCUUUGGCUCAGGUCAUAAUCCCGGGGGUUUGGGGUCCUGGGAUUGAGUCCCAAGUCAGGCUCCCCAUGGGGAGCCUGCCUCUCCCUCUGCCUGUGUCUCUGCCUGUGUCUCUCCCUCUCUCUUUGUAUCUCUCAUGGAUAAAUAAAUAAAAUAUUUUUAAAAAAGAAUCCCAUUCCCAGUUACCGAGAAGCACAGGGCUGUGACAGGCAGUGUGUGAGCUCAUGACCAUCCUCGGAGCCUCCUAAUUAAAUGAGAUUUGAUUAGAAGUGGCGUGAUGUUGGGCCGAAGCGUUGUGUCAUGCUGUUCCUGGUUUUCAAUCCCUCUUGGGUGCAAGCAAGGAGGGUGAUCAUUCUAGAUGGAAGACUCUUCCAGACUUUCGAGUCGCCCUGCUAUAGGUUACCUCACUUGUUUCUCACAAUGCUGAAGUUGAAACAUACGGGAUCUGAAAACACAGAGAGUUGUCCAGAUGGUGAACAAGCAGAUUAGAAACUCAGGGCAUGACUGCAGAUUCAGGGUUCUUCCUCACCCCUUUGAGGAUAUUCCAACCAGGACCCAAUGUAACUCCCAAUCCGAGGCUGGCCUUCCAGGAUGAUUAGUGGAAGCCUGAGUUGGCAUGCCUCAGAGCUAAAAGCCUUCUGAAAUCAAAUUCUGAAGUUGAGCAGUUUGGAAAGAAAAGGAAUGAACUUUUAUACCAGGUUCCAAAGAGUCAGAGUCAAAAAAAAAAAAAAAAAAAAAAAAGAGUCAGAAUCCCCUUUCAAUUUUCCUAUCAUGAACAUUAACUCUUUUGGCAGAGGAACUGGAAAUGCUCAUGAAUUGUAGUCUUGGAGAAGAUGUCCUGCAUUUACAAUGAUGGCCCAUUAUGACAAGGCCAGGCAGCAAGAUACUGGGUAAAAUGCACGAAACAUGGAGUGAGAACACACUGGCUCUCCACCCAGCUUUGCCGCGGACUGGCUGUGUGACCUUGACAAGCUGUAUAUUCUCUCUGGGCCCUAGUUUCUUAAUUUUUACAAGGUAGAAAAUAACCAGCUUGUGAUAUUUUAAGAGGUCACAAUAGCGUGUUCCCCUGACACUUAGAACAAUGGCUCGUAAGUAGGUGCUCAAU